GGGAAUGUGGCUUAGUGGUAGAGUGCUUGCCUAGCAUGCAAGAAAAAGCCGUAAGUUCUAUUUCUCAGUACCA
rnacentral:tRNA from 1 species